rnacentral:rRNA from 1 species
GAUGAACGCUGGCGGCGUGCUUAACACAUGCAAGUCGAACGGAGUUUAGCGCUUCCAAAGCUUCGGCAGAGGAGUGUUAAACUUAGUGGCGGACGGGUGAGUAACGCGUGGGUAACCUGCCAUAUACAGGGGGAUAACACUUAGAAAUAGGUGCUAAUACCGCAUAAGCGCACGGCAUCGCAUGAUGCAGUGUGAAAAACUCCGGUGGUAUAUGAUGGACCCGCGUCUGAUUAGCUUGUUGGUGAGGUAACGGCCCACCAAGGCGACGAUCAGUAGCCGACCUGAGAGGGUGAUCGGCCACAUUGGAACUGAGAGACGGUCCAAACUCC